GCUCGGGUGGUGGAAUUGGCAGACACGUUAGCUUCAGGAGCUAAUGGACGCAAGUCCGUGGGAGUUCAAAUCUCCCUCCGAGCA
rnacentral:tRNA from 1 species